UAUUAGAAAUAGUUGAAUAAACAAAAAAAUAUCUCAAAAUCAUCAUAGUCUCCAUAUACAAAUCUUAAAGCAAACCUCCAUAGUGCACAUAGUGAUAGAGAAAUCAGCAGUAAAGCAUGUUAAAUGAGAGAUUGGUAGCUAAGCACAUUGAUCAUUGAAUCUCCCUAUAGAAAGCACUGAUUUGCACCAAAAAAAAAUAAACUCAAAAAUCCUAGAUUAAGGAUUAAGAAAAAUAAAUCUCAGAGAAGAUUAAGAAAGCAUGAAAGAAGUAGAGGAGCCCCGGCUACCGUUGGGAAGAAACAUCGGCCAAAGGAGAAGCCCUAGCCGUCG
rnacentral:lncRNA from 1 species